rnacentral:rRNA from 1 species
AGUGAACGCUGGUGGUAGGCCUAACACAUGCAAGUCGAACGGCAGCACAGUAAGAGCUUGCUCUUACGGGUGGCGAGUGGCGGACGGGUGAGGAAUACAUCGGAAUCUACCUUUUCGUGGGGGAUAACGUAGGGAAACUUACGCUAAUACCGCAUACGACCUACGGGUGAAAGCAGGGGAUCUUCGGACCUUGCGCGAUUGAAUGAGCCGAUGUCGGAUUAGCUAGUUGGCGGGGUAAAGGCCCACCAAGGCGACGAUCCGUAGCUGGUCUGAGAGGAUGAUCAGCCACACUGGAACUGAGACACGGUCCAGACUCCUACGGGAGGCAGCAGUGGGGAAUAUUGGACAAUGGGCGCAAGCCUGAUCCAGCCAUACCGCGUGGGUGAAGAAGGCCUUCGGGUUGUAAAGCCCUUUUGUUGGGAAAGAAAAGCAGCAGGUUAAUACCCCGCUGUUCUGACGGUACCCAAAGAAUAAGCACCGGCUAACUUCGUG